GCUGGCGUAGCUCAGAUGGAGAGCAGCGGUUUUGUAAACCGAAGCGCGGAGACUCGAGCCCUCCCGUCAGCACCA
rnacentral:tRNA from 1 species